CCUGUGAGUUGAACACUUCAUGACUAAGAGCUGUUCUUCAUGACAACAGAACCCACAACAACCAUGACUUUUAUCACCAUCUUCAUCUGGACACUUGUUUUCUGCUUUCAAGAUGCCAGAGGACAGUACGUUGUGACACAGACUCCGGUAGUGAAAGCUGUUGUCCCAGGACAGCCAGUCUCUCUGAACUGUAUAACCAGCAGUAAUGUGUAUUCUAAUAAUCGCCUAGCCUGGUACCAACAGAAACCUGGAGGAGCUCCUAAACUCCUUAUUUACCUUGCUACAACACUUCAGUCUGGGACUCGAUCUAGAUUCAGUGGCACUGGAUCUGGGAGUGACUUCACUCUGACCAUCAGUGGAGUCCAGGCUGAAGAUGCAGGAGAUUACUACUGUCAGAGUU